ensembl:lncRNA
GUCAGCCUGGAGAACAGUCUCCUCUCAGGAAUCACUGAUCCACUCCUGAAAGGAAAAGAACAGAUUUCAGACACAGAAUGACUGCAGCACCGUCACUAAGUGAAGUCAGUGACAUCAAUUGUGUUGAAUAUGUCAGCUGCUUAGCUCGACUCUACAGUUUGUCACUACACUCAACUACUGCCCCAAUGGGCUAGGCGUCGUUAUAGCAACAACAUCAUGAUCGUUUACCCUCACCCCAAACCAGUCACAGGAGACGACUGCCACCCCCUGAGCCUGGUUCUGCUGGAGCUUCUUUUACAUUAAAAGCACCUUUACUGUGAACUGGCCUUAUAGAAAUACAUUUUUAUUGAAUCAAAGUGACUGAGCGACACCUUCCUGAAAGUGAAGCCUCAACAUGUCACUAAUCCUGGAAUUUUGCUUUUUCAUAUACCCCUCAGGAAAUGUUCCCAACAGGUUCUUCUAAGCUGGUUGCUUGAGAAGCCCACUGGGAUGGCUUGCUUUUUGGUCAUGUCCACAGCUAAACAGGAACACAGAAUCCUGACAGCCUUGGUUCAUGACCACUUUGACACACAGACGCACAAACACUACUUACAGCGAUCAGCUGCAGUCCUUUCCAUGCAGGCAGGACAGCCUUCAGAUUCUGAAACACAUGGGUUUACAAUACAAUUUUAUUUAUAUAGCACAUUUAAAAACCCGAAGGCACACCAAAGUGCUUCACAGUAAUAUGGAGAGUUUAUUAAAUUAUUGGAGCGUGUCCUGUCAUGUUCUAAUGAAGACCGUCUUUAGACCCAGGCCUGCUUGCUGCAGGCUUCAGUUAACUGUCAAGUCUAAAGUUAAUUGUUCACCUGCACAUUUCAUUUUCACUGCUGUCACUUUGCAUGCGAGCAGCUGGCUUUUCCUCAUACUGGAGCUUGUUGAACAGGAAGUUUUAAUGUUGAUUACGGUAACAAGUGCUGCUGUUUUUGAUGCUCGGAAAGAAUUCCUCCAUGCCACCUGAGCUCAUCGUCGCGGUAACUGCUCUGCCUCUUUGCUCCAGAUCUCUCCCUCUUUUUAAAAUUUCCAAAUGUUGCUGAAAACCUCAUGUUGUGAGUUUUAUAGAGUUCAGGGAUUUUCAGAGAUCAUUCAUUUAAAAAAAUAUUAAAUUUAAAAAAAAGAAACUCUGUUAAAGCAGGCUCGUGGUAUGCACAGAACCUCACGGUACUCACACUAUACCGAUUACUCCUAUCCAUGUUUAUCUGUGUGGUCCACCCUAACCAGUGAUAUGAAAACAGUCCACUGAUAAGACUUGUAAACAAUGACAGAAUAGAAAAUCUAUGGAGCAGUUGGUAAUAUUUGACAGACACUUGUUCUGCAUCAGUAUCUCACAACGUUCAUGGCAGUGAACAUGUGGGUAAAGCGAAACAGAUUUACUUUGUGAGGCAUUUCCAACAACACGGCCCUACAGAGAAAGGUCUGUCGGGAUAGACCUCAGCAUACUACAGAGCAUAAAUGAUAUGCACGACUACAUCAAGCACCAGUCAAUUUCUUACUUGAACUUGAUUUAUUUCAGCGUCUUCAGUUGGACAGUCUGCUGCUUCCUCCUAACAAUAGAGGGUUUGUCACUUGCACCUCGUGGGAAACAUGUUGACACUUACAGGGGAAUGAGUUGUGGCAGCAGAAACCUGGAAAAAGGUAAACAGUGAGCUCAGCAGUUGAUGCAGGGUUACUGGGACAAACACCAUGGCUGAUUACAAAAGCAAUUCAUUUUCAGAUCAGCAACAAAAAUUAAGUUGCAGGAAAAAAACAAAAACAGCUUUAUUUGAUGAGUACGGAUCCACGAGUAAUGCAGUGUGUACCAACAUGUUUACCAGGACUCCAAACACAAGCAGUCGGGAGACCAACGAUGCCAUUUGUUGAGUUCAUCUUGCACUGACUUUUGAACAAACCAGCUAACGAAGCAGCUGGCUGCAGAUACCACACAGUGCUGCCAUUGUGGCUCCAAUUCACUUCUCCUUGAGAUUAACAUUCAUUCUAACAGAUCUUGUUUUUCCUUUUGCACAUCUUGAUUCACUGAUUUAAUCAUGUGUCAGUCUGGUUUUCACUGUGGUGGACAUUUACA